UACGUAGGGGGCUGGCGUUGUCCGGAUUUAUUGGGCGUAAAGAGCGUGUAGGCGGCCAGGUAGGUCUGGUGUGAAAACUCGAGGCUUAACCUUGAGAUGUCAUCGGAAACCAUUUGGCUAGAGUCCGGAAGAGGAAAGUGGAAUUCCUGGUGUAGCGGUGAAAUGCGCAGAUAUCAGGAAGAACACCAAUGGCGAAAGCAGCUUUCUGGGACGGUACUGACGCUGAGACGCGAAAGCGUGGGGAGCGAACAGG
rnacentral:rRNA from 1 species